GACGAACGCUGGCGGCGUGCCUAAUACAUGCAAGUUGAGCGCUGAAGGUUGGUACUUGUACCAACUGGAUGAGCAGCGCACGGGUGAGUAACGCGUGGGGAAUCUGCCUUUGAGCGGGGGACAACAUUUGGAAACGAAUGCUAAUACCGCAUAAAAACUUUAAACACAAGUUUUAAGUUUGAAAGAUGCAAUUGCAUCACUCAAAGAUGAUCCCGCGUUGUAUUAGCUAGUUGGUGAGGUAAAGGCUCACCAAGGCGAUGAUACAUAGCCGACCUGAGAGGGUGAUCGGCCGCAUUGGGACUGAGACACGGCACACACUCCUACGGGAGGCAGCAGUAGGGAAUCGUGGGCAAUGGGCGAAAGACUGAGCGAGCAACGCCGAGUGAGUGAAGAAGGUUGUCGGAUCGUAAAACUCUGUUGGUAGAGAAGAACGUUGGUGAGAGUGGAAAGCUCAUCAAGUGACGGUAACUACCCAGAAAGGAACGGCUAACUACGUG
rnacentral:rRNA from 1 species